UACGUAGGGUGCAAGCGUUGUCCGGAAUUAUUGGGCGUAAAGGAGCUCGUAGGCGGUUUUGUCGCGUCGAAUGUGAAAACUCGGGGCUUAACCCCGAGCCUGCAGUGGAUACGGGCAGACUAGAGGUAGGUAGGGGAGAAUGGAAUUCCCGGUGUAGCGGUGAAAUGCGCAGAUAUCAGGAGGAACACCGGUGGCGAAGGCGGUUCUCUGGGCCUUACCUGACGCUGAGGAGCGAAAGCGUGGGGAGCAAACAGG
rnacentral:rRNA from 1 species